GGUGAGAUGGCCGAGCGGUCUAAGGCGCCAGACUAAGGACCAACGCGUUCUGACGCGUAAAGUAAUCUGGUCCUCCGGGGCGUGGGUUCGAAUCCCACUCUCAUCA